rnacentral:sRNA from 1 species
UGCUCCGCUCCCACCUCACGACCUCUAUCCCCUCCACUAAGUCCUGAUCCAACUGUCCUAGUUUCUCUGCAUCCCGUUGGGAGCAGGCAGGCCUCAGUCGGGCUUUCCCUGCAUGAAUAUCGUAAAACCCUCUCCCGUCCGCAUCUGGACGAGGCCUCUGUUUCUGGCCCGCGAAAAACAUUGAGAAGGAAGCCUAAAGCUUUGAACCUCAAUCUUGUUCGAUCCCCUAAAACUCCACCUUCUCCCCCUCCCAGCCCUGCAUCAUCAAUAUCUCCAAUAUAUCCCCUAGACUCAGUAAGGUCAUCGCGAUCCUGCUUGCCAUUUGCAGGAAAAUCGGUUACCGGCCAAGAUGAAGGAAGUUUUCAUGAAUAUAUUCCCCACCACAUUCUAGGGGAGGCUACGUCAUUAUCACACAUCACUCAUCCAGUCACCGCUACUCUUAACACUUCAUCUCAGCAACCCCCCCCUCUGGCGAAUUCUUCUCCUUCACCUCCACACCGCACUCCUGCUGCUAGUAUAGCGAGCGCAAGCACCGGAAUCAGGAAAUUGAACGCGUUCAGGCAUCGCUUGAAACAGAUUCCCGUCAAGAUCAUGUCUCAUCACAAAAGUUCUUCGGAUUCUGCUCUAUUCCAACGGCCAGAUUGCUCAAACACUAAGCUUCGCCACAAGGGCGUUUCAUUUGAGAUACUCAACCCGCCUAAGUCACC